CCCCCUUUAUUCUCAAGAAUAAUGUAGAAUUUGCUGAGAAUGCAACGUCCUGAGAUAAGGAGGGACUGACCGGAACAGCCAGGGCUCUGUUCCAGUUCCCCCUAGAAAGAAAAUGUCCUCCAGUGCUUUAGCCUAGUAUGUCAUGUAGCUCCUGGAAUAUAAAAUCUGUGGUGGACUGUUUUCUGGGGUCCCUCAGUUGUGGUGCAAGUGGGGCAUGUGCAGAGAUUCUGUCCUUCCUGAGCAGCUUUCCUGGGCCUUGGAAGACCAGCUCGCCGUGAACCUGAUGCUUCUGCUGUCCCUCGCUACCUAUCUUGUGUCUCCACUUCCUGCCACUUCCAGCCACUUGAGUUUCCGAAACAUGAUAGAAACUACUGCAUGACAGUGCAUCUGCAAGU
rnacentral:lncRNA from 13 species